rnacentral:rRNA from 1 species
AGUGAAUAGAUACCCGGGUAGUCCACGCUGUAAACGAUGAGUGCUGGACGUUGGCGGGUUUACCUGCCGGUGUCGCAGCUAAACGCGUUAAGCACUCCGCCUGGGGAGUACGGCCGCAAGGUUAAAACUCAAAGGAAUUGACGGGGGCCCGCACAAGCGGUGGAGCAUGUGGUUUAAUUCGACGCAACGCGCAGAACCUUACCAGCCCUUGACAUGGGCGGACGGGGUCCAGAGAUGGACUCUUUCUCGCAAGAGACCGCUACACAGGUGCUGCAUGGCUGUCGCCAGCUCGUGUCGUGAGAUGUUGGGUUAAAGUCCCGCAACGAGCGCAACCCUCGUCUCCAGUUGCCAUCGGGUAGAGCCGGGCACUUUGGAGAAACUGCCGGUGACAAGCCGGAGAACGUGGGGAUGACGUCAAGUCCUCAUGGCCCUUACGGGCUGGGCUACGACACGUGCUACGAAUGGCGGUGACAGAGGGCAGCAAGGGGCGACCUGGAGCUAAUCCUCAAAAAGCCGUCUCAGUUCGGAUUGCACU